ACACAAGUCAUUACCAUACUUACAAAUGAUGCUGGAAACCCAUAACUUAUAAGUGCCUCUUGAAUGAAGUCCCAACUCACCAUAUCAUAUGACUUUCGAAGAUCUAUUUUCAUAAGGAAUCUUGGAGAUAUUUUCCUAUUAUAGUGUCUUAGGAGGUCAUAAAAAUUAAGAACACUAUGGAUCAGAGAUCUCCCCUCUACAAAUGUUGCCUAGUUUUCAGCACAAGGUAAGACACGACUUCCCCCAAUCUAAUAUAUGUCAUCUUUGAUAGGCAUUUAUAUAUCACAUUACAACAUGAGAUAGGACUAAAUUGGCUAGUGUUUCGAGGAACAAUUACCUUAGGAAUCAAACAGAUCAUUAUUGCAUUUAACUGCUUCAAAACUUUGCCCGUAUGAAAUACUUCCAGCACUACUCGUGCAAUCUCCUUGCCAAUCACUUCCCAAGUAGCUUGGAAAAAAUUACUUCUAUACUCGUUCAGCCACGGGCUCUUGUUCUUAUCAAUACUAAGCAUGUCUUGCUUCACAUCCUUUUCAGAAUAAGGUCUAAUCUAUUCUAACUGCUCAUCUAUACUAAACCUUGUACCAUUCUCCAAGAAACUAUCAAAUGCUUUGGUUCUUUGAUAUUACUUCCUACCCAGCAGAUCGGUAUAAUAGUCAACCAUUAUUCCUGCAAUUACUUUUUGUUUAUGCUGCAUCACCCCAUGUUUAUCCUCAAAUUGAGUAAUGGAUUAUUGUAAUAUUUUGUGCUUAAUAAUUGAGAAAAAUACUUCGUGCAAUCACCCCACAAUCAAAAGAGCCCCUAACCUUUGCCCCAAAUCUCAACUACACACUUAUACUUUGCAGGGUCCUAUGACCCCCCGAACAUUUUAAAAAUGGAUUUAUUACCCCCUCGAAAACUCACAUCCAUAUAUGUAAUGGAAAGUGAGCAACACGCACCUGUCAUAUCAUGCCACGUAAUUUCCACGUAAUUUUAUAUUUUUAUAUAAAAAAAUUAAUUAUUAUUCUUUAAUAUAUAUAUAUAUAUUCUCUUUCUCUAUUUUUCAUUUUUUAGAAACUAAAAAGAAGUAUUAUUCAUUGUUAUUUCUUUGCGCUUAAAUUUCUGUAUUUUGAAACAGUGCCAUAUAAACAUUGAAAGAAGUUUUAUUUCUUGUGCUUAAAUUUCUGUAUUUUGGAACAGUGCCAUAUAAAACAUUGAGACCCACAUGCAGAUUAUUCAUCUUUCAUAUUUCUUGUUUAUUUUCCAUUCAAUUUUUGAAUUCAAUAAGAGAUUUUUGGAUUUUGUUUUCAUGGAUUGUGUUAAAUCUCUGAAGUACUUGAAUUUGAGUGCUGAUUUGGGAUUUGGAUUUUAGGUGUUUGGGUGGUUUGAACAAUUGUAUAAUGUUUUGGGGUUGUUGUUUGAUUUGGGAUUGAGGGUUUUGUAAUUUAGUUGGUAUUGUAAGGGUGGAACCGUUUUCUUUGUGAUUUUCGUGGGAAAUCAAGUGAAUUGAAAAAUGGGUGUUGUUCUAAAAAUGAUUUUGAUGAGAAAUGUUGUGAAAAGAUGAAGUCAUGUAAGACUAGGUUAUUGAUGAAUUUGAACUUAGAACAGAAAAAAAUUGAUGGUUUAUUGGAAUUGGAUGAUGAGAAGGAAGAGUUUGAAGAAAGUGUAAUGAUGAAGACAAAGUGUUUGAUGUUUGGUCACUGAGAAAAAUAGUAAAGAUGAAAAGGCGGUGAGCAAAUGCUGCUUGUUUGGAACUUGAAAAGAAGAGAAUGGCAGCAGCUACAGCAGUUGAGGAAACAAUGGGGAUGAUAUUGCGGUUACAGAAUGAAAUUGGUAGAAGUAUUGAAAAUGUGAUUUAGAGAUUAGCCAUGAUAGCCAUUGAAGAGUUGUUGAAGCUUUUAAUGAGAGAGUAUUUUGAGAUGGUGAUGAAGAAGAAAGAAAAUAAAAUAAAAUAAAAAUAAUAUAUCUAUAUAGAGAGAGUAUUUUGGGAUGGUGUUGAAUAAGAAAGAAAAUAAAAUAAAAUAAAAAUAAUAUAUACAUAUAUAUAUAUAUUAUAUGUACUUUUAUAUUAAAAAGAAAUGUAAAAAAUACUUUUUUUAAGAUUUUCGAACUACUCACUCUCUCAGAGAGACUGAGAUACACUCUCUUUGCCACAUAAGCCUUUAGGGUGUAAUAAUUUCAUUUUUAAAAUGUUCGGGGAUAAUAGGACUCCCGCAAAGUAUAAGUGUGUAGUUGGAAUUUUUGGGUAAAGCUUGAGGGCUUUUGGCCAUUUUCUCCAAAAAGAUUUAUGCUAUGUAUUUAGAACGCCUAAACAUAGUGUAUUUCUCUUUUUCAUCUCGCUGUAAAUUCUUCUCUGUUGGUUGGGACUAUAAGUCAAGUUGAGCUUUCUCAAGUUCUUCUCUAUCUAUAUUAUCCUCCUCUAUGAUCUCUACAAAAUUAUUUGUUCAAUGCUUGAAAUUUUUUUCAACAAUUUCAGCUUCCUUACUAUUUAGAACAUAAGGCAACCUUCUUUUUGUUUCUUCUAGAUAUUCUCCACUAUAGGAAUAAAGUUUUGGUGCUUGAACCAUAUAUUAUAGUAUUUAAAGGUUUGUGUUCUUAACUGAAGUUUUUAGCUCCAAAUGAAUAGGGAUGUGAUCACUCACCCCCUCUGGCAAGAAUAUGAUUGUAUAAUCCGGCAUAAUAUCAAUCCAUCCUUUAUUAAUCAAUGCCUAGUCGAUCUUGGACCAGAUCAUAUUCUCUCCUUGCUUAUCAUUUCGUGUAUAUUUAGUUUCACAAUAUGAAAGUUCCAGUAAGCUGCAGUUCACUACACACUCAUGAAGUCUGCUAUCUCUUCUAUAGUAAUUGGGUUCCCUCCUAUUCUAUCAUUCUGAUGUAGCACUGAAUUGAAAUCACCAGUGAUCAACCAUGAUAUUUGUUUCCCCUAAUUUUCUACAGUUAAGUAACUCCAUUAUGCUCCUCUCUCCUUUUUGCUAUUCUGUCCAUAAAUGAUUGUUAAUUUAAAUCUUAUUUGACCACAAAUGUCCCAUAUACUCACAAGUCAUAGCCUGAUCCACCUAACCAUAUUUAUUUAAAAAUAAUUCAGCCUCUAAGUUUGCUAGAUUCACCCAUUAUAAUGAUUCUCCAAAUUCGUAACGUAGUCCCAACCAGAGAACAUAUUUUGAGCUACUCUUUCUAUUCUACCAGCCUUUAUUUUUGUUUCCACCAUAACAGUUAUUCCUGCAUUUAGCUUAUUGCAAAGGAGCUUCACCUUCUUUUGUUUAUUCGUCCCAUUAAGUAGGGGUGGCAAUGGUGCGGUGUGGUGCGAGUUUUUUCUAAACCCGCGAAUUUUAAAAUCACCCCAUACCGCACCGCACCACCUUUAAACCAGCAUAAACCCGCCCCACACCUAUACCCGUGCAUACUCGCACCACAUCGCCUCACAUUUUUUUAUUUUUUUUAAAAUUUGUCACUCUAUUGAAAACCAUAAUAUUUUCAAUACUAGGAAAUAGUAACAACCAAUUUCUAUUAUAUCACUUUUCACAAAGAAAUUGUUAGAAAAGUAUCACGAGUACAAGUAAUAAUAAAAUAUCAAAUUUUCAUUAAGAUGAAUAAAGAAAUUAAUAAAGUUAUAAAAUUGUUUAUUUGCAGUGUUAUACAUGUAGUUUUAAGUAUCAUAAAAUUUUAAGUGAAGAAUGCAUAUAAUUUUAGGUAGAUUCACGAGAAUAAUACUAACUUUUUAACUUUUUUUUAAAUUUAAACGUGCAACCAACCCGCACCGCAUCAUUUAAAAAACUUACUUAAACCCGCCCCCCCCCUCCCCCGCCCACAAAGUCUAAAACCCACGCCGUCCCCCACCCGCGCCGCCUCAUUGCCAUCCUUACUAUUAAGGCCUCACAUUUCAUAUAACAUAGCUAUCCAUUUGGACUAUGGACAGUAGUACCCCCAUCUCUGCUAGGACUUCUCCGUGGUUUCAUUACAUUAAACUUGUCCUUGUUGAGUACUUGGAAACCAUUAUUGACCUUAUGUGACGUCUCUCCAACAUGUUUAGCUCUAGUAGCUUUUUUUGUUAUGACCCAACCAUCUUGAUUCUUCUUUGCACCAUUAGCUUCAUGUCCCUUUCCUGGUCUUUCAUUAAGCACUGAUUUAGCAACUCCCAUAAAACUUAAGCUGAUAUUUUCUAUUGCACCUGUUAUCCCCUUCUGUCUCGGCUCUGGUGUAUUCUUACCAGCAGGAUUUGCACUGCCUUGUCCCCUCUCUGUCUCAAUUACUUCAUCGUUGGUUUUUAUCAAAGCCUUUUUUCCUACAGCUUUUCCAUGCCCAUGCUUCUGACAGAAUUUGCAUAAAAUUGGUCUCCAUUCAUAUUGCAUUGUUUGCUCUACCAGAUUACACUUUUCAUUCAUAAAACAUACCCUUUCAGGUAGCUCAGCAUCCAUUACAAACUUAGCAAGUCGUCGAGCAAAUUUAACACCAGUAUUCCUUUUAGUAUUGUAAUCUGCCAUUAGUGGUUUCCCACCAGACUACCAAUUUUGCUCAAUCCCUUACACUCCAGUACUUAAAAACUAACCCAGGAAAUUUCACAAUCGAUAAAAAUAAAAUGUAGUACUCUUAAAUUGUUAUAAAUGAUAUUAAUAUCUAUCAUUUUGUAGUGGAUGUGUAUCAAAAUAUAGUGUGUAUCUAUCACAUAUAGUAAAUAUCUAUCAAGAUAUGAAAUGUCUUUCUUUUGGAGAAAAGUUGGGAGUUUUUUCCCUAUAAGUGGAGUGACUCUCUUUAUUGUAAUUCAUCCUCAUUCCUCAAGAGAAAUAAAGAUAAUUCAUCUCUUCUCUCCAUUCUAUUUGUUCUUACUUUAUAUUUCAUAAUACGUUAUUAGUACGAAUCUCUACUAAUUGAGAUAUCUACUUUAAUCGGUUCGACGAUAAGCAUGAAUUUUAGAUAUUGUAUGUUUUACUAAGAAUUUUGAAUUUAUACUUAGUUUCUCACCGUUGCUCACCGUACGUGUUUUCCUCAAAUCAGUAUCGUGGAUAGUAUUGUUUAAAUAUAUUACAUGUCGGAGAACAAUAUAUAAGCUAUAUCUAUUCUCUUUGGUGGAGAUUUAAUUCUGGAAAUUAUUAAAGAAACUAAAGUGAUGUUAUUUUAUGGAUACCUCUAAUCCAAUUACAAACCUAUUAAGAUUAUUAUUGCAGAGGUAUGUUCACACUUAUUUAUGAGAUUCUACCUUUAAUAAGUUAUAUGACGUGGUAAAGAAACCUGCAAGUGUUGACUUUCUUUAACAAAUAUAGUAUGUUCUUUUGGGUGCUCAUUUCUAAUUCUCCAAGUUUAUGUAUAAUACUAAUCAUUCUUUUUCAUCUUUGAGUUUCUGAGUAGCAGGUAAAGUUAGACAAACAAACGAAAAAUGAUUAGUAGCCUAAAACAAAGCAAUGAUAUUGCUUUCUGUAAUGGAUUUUUGGGCACAUUGUUAUCAUUGUCAAUAUUUUUUUAAAGUCUAGUUAUAAAUAAAUUUAUUUGUGACCAUAAUUGUUUGAAGUUAUUACAUUAUACGGUGCUUCAUACCUAAAAAUAACAAUUAUUUUAAAAUUUAGUAUACUCUGAAAUAUAGUUAGAGAAAAAAUUCUACACCAUAUGUAUGUCUCAAUUUUCUCCUAAAGUAGCAAUAUCUUGAAAGAAGUUCGAAGCUAUCAUAAUUUGAUAGGUUGGUACGAUUAUAUUUCAUUUCUGGAGAAUGAGAACUUUAUUUUUUAUAAGUACAUAUCCAUAUACUGGGGUGAAUGUGAUAGGAGUAACACCUACAAAGAGGUAGAAUAAUUGAGAAGAAAUAUUCUAAAAUUUACUCUCGAAGUAGUAAAUCUGAAAAUCUAUUCAUGUAAUAGUAAAUCUGAAAUUUACUAAAGCAAGAUUCAUAUGUCAUGGUAAACUUGGAGUUUAUUAGUGCAAAUAAAUUCAUAAGUUGGCAUGAAUGAUUAUGACAUUCUGAAGAUGUGCAUAUUGAGUAUUGGACAUGUAAUAAAGAAUUAGAAGAGUCAUCAAUAAUUGUAUUUAUGUUGUUUGUUCUUAUAAUAGGUUGGUUGGACCAGCUAAUAUUUGGAUAAGAUCCCCUAAAAUUUGAAAAAGUAUUAAAGGUGAAUAUGGACGCCUUCACCUGUUAUGUGAUAUGCUAAAUAGAGGCAUCUAUAAGAUUCAUAUGCGCGUUUAUUGUCAACUUGUAGC
rnacentral:lncRNA from 1 species